ACUGAUUCUGAUUGGUUCACAUUCUCUUUGAGUUCAUCCAAAGUUUCAGCAACUUCUAUUCUAUCCCCGUCCUCUUCAUGUGCAGGUACCUCCAGAGUUUCUUCUACAUCCUUGUCAUAUUCUGCAUGUCCAGUGGGCCCCUGUUUUUCGUUUAGGUCCUCACCGUCACCCUCCUCACAUAGGCUAUUAGUUGCCUCAAAAUUGCAGUCUAUUUCAUGCAUCUCUUUCUCUACUGUGCCAUUAUCCUUUUCAACUGAUUCUGACUGGUUCACAUUCUCUUUGAGUUCAUCCAAAGUUUCAGCAACUUCUAUUCUAUCCCCGUUCUCUUCAUGUGCAGGUACCUCUAGAGUUUCUUCUACAUCCUUGUCAUACUCCGCAUGUCCAGUGGACGCCUCUUUUUCGUUUAGGUCCUCACUGUCACCCUCCUCACAUAGGUUAUUAGUUGCCUCAAAAUUGCAGUCUGUUUCAUGCAUCUCUUUCUCUACCCUGCCAUUAUCCUCUUCAACUGAUUCUGACUGGUCCACAUUCUCUUUGAGUUCAUCCAAAGUUUCAGCAACUUCUAUUCUAUCCCCGUCCUCUUCAUGUGCAGGUACCUCCAGAGUUUCUUCUACAUCCUUGGCAUACUCUGCAUGUCCAGUGGACCGCUCUUUUUCACUUAGGUCCUCACUGUCACCCUCCUCACAUAGGUUAUUAGUUGCCUUAAAAUUGCAGUCUGUUUCAUGCAUCUCUUUCUCUACUGUGCCAUUAUCCUCUUCAACUGAUUCUGAAUGGUCCACAUUCUCUU
rnacentral:lncRNA from 1 species